GGUGCGGUAGCCAAGUGGUAAGGUCGAGCUCUGCAAAAGCUCUAUUCGGCGGUUCGAUUCCGCCCCGCACCUCCA
rnacentral:tRNA from 1 species